AUGGCCCGCCACCGCCCCGCCGUGCUCAUCCCCAUCCAGACCCCCAAUCCAUGGCCUCUGACUGCUGCCCUCCUACCCCGCCUCCUCCCCUCACCGCUGGUGACUCCCUGCUCUUCCUCUCAUCGCCCCCUGCUCCCCGCUAUCGCCUCUGUUUGCUCCCCACGCUCGGCCGCUCCGGAUCCAGAUCCACGGCCCCAUUUGCCACUGCUUGGACAGGCUGCUGGUGCUGGCCGUGGACGGGCUGCCGGUGGCAGCGCCGCUCAACGGCCGUCGCUGCUGUCCGCUCGGCUCGGACGACUACACCGUCAUCCAGAUGACCUUAGGCCGCCCCGCCUCCACCUCCGCACCGGCCAUGAAGCCGUGACGCCCCAGCCGCCUAGUAUAAGGGUCUCAGAUUCAGUACAAUGUUACACUUCUGCACAAAUCGCUGUUGCCAUUGCGGAGAAUUGUAAUCAAUCAAUUGUCAUUUGCCUUGCCGUUGCAGGUAAGCUCCUCGUUGACUUGAGUAUAAUUCUGCAUCGACUGCUUGUUCACUAUCCCCCUCGGUAUCCAAAACAAUCUGGUAUCCAUAUUCUAGGAAAUAGCCAAGAAACCCAGCUAUGUGUGCUCAGCAUCCAGCAAAUCCUAGCUAUCUUCAUUUUGGUUGGAUAUUACUUGAAAAUUAGUUCACUUAUUGUCAUCAUGAAUCCUCCAGAGCGGGAGUAUAUUAAGAUAAAUGUUGAUGCUAGUUUUGUGGAGAGCUUGAGAUUUGCUAGCGUUGGGGUUGUCGCUAGGAAUCAUCUGGGAGAAGUCCUGGUGUCUUCUUGGGAUUUUAUUCGAAUGUGCUCCGGAGCGGAGGAGGAGGAACUUCGUGCAUGCCUCGCCGGGCUGUACAUUGGUAUUUCUCUUCACAAACCAAUUAUCUUGGAAACUGACUGCUCCUUUGCUGCAUCUUUCCUAGCGAAAGAAACUGUUGACAGGUCUCCUUAUGUGGAUCUAAAAAUGGAAGCGAUCACCGCCUCCAAGUUUUUUGUUGAUCUCAAGAUUGUUAAGAUGGAUAGGCAGGCAAACAAGGCGGCACAUGAGAUAGCAAAAUUUAGUUUUGAUACCAUGUCCGAUGACUUAGACACCUUCACGGAGUGGUGGCUCACACAAAGGACAAAUUUCUCCGGGAGGUUUCGACGGGGCUUUGACUCCUUUGUGAUCGGUACUCCAUGGCUGUUGUGGAAGCAAAGGAAUGCAAGGGUCUUCAACAGAACACAACAAAAAAAGCCGCAAGACUAG
rnacentral:rRNA from 1 species